UUUCUACUAACUUACAAGCAUAAGUUGCAACAUGUGAGGGGGGGAGAAAUUUUUGGAAAAUUGACCCUCUUCAAGCAAUGGAGCCACCAGAGUUUGUCAAGCUUGCUAGCAGGCCUAAAACUAAGAGAGUUAGACAGAAAGAUGAAGCACUUAAGAGGCAAGGUGAGUGGGCUGUGUCAAGAAAAGGUAGAAUAAUGACAUGUAGCAAUUGUGGAAAGCCAAAUCAUAACGUUAGAGGUUGCGACAAGUCAAAAAUGAAAAAAUGUUUGCUACGGAAAAGGUAAAGAAAAAGCAGCGUAAAAUAAAUUUAGUUGAUGAGGGAGAACCUUCUCAAACUUAAGAGAGCAUCAACCUAACAACCCCUCAAGAAACACAAAAUAGUCAAAGUAGCAUGUUAUGUGACUAUGAACAUGAUGAAGAUCCUUGUCUACAUCCUACAGUUAUUUCAGAGACUCUUACUAGGCUUCAAAUGAGACAACAUAUAUCAACAGGGACAAGGGUAAUAAGCUUCAAAGGUGACCACAAUGGUAUAAGUGAUCCAACAAAUCUUCCAAUACAACCAAAAAGCUUAACUUGAAAAGGUAAAGAUGCAAUUACGUUCAAUCAACUGAAAGUUCAAAGUCAAGAAAGAAUUGCAAAGUUGAAGCCAAAAAAGGGACAAUAUCAGUUUGGUUAAUUUUUGUUAAGUUUGUGGACAAUUUAAUUUGAUGAUGUAACUAUUGUUUAAACAGUACUUUUGGGAAAAUAGCUUUUGCAAAGUUGGAAAUAUCGCAUCAAAACUUAUGUUGUAUAAGUUUUGGGGUUAUAUUGUGACAUCCAGACGAUAUUUGAUGAUUUCA